UCAUUGCCUGGUUGUAAGAUGUAUUGUGAUCUUUUCUAAUGUUUUUUUCAGCUGGGUUUCAGCUCUUCCCUCUUCCUCUAUCAUGCGCACACACACUGGCCUUCACCUUUACCAGCCUUAUGUUCCUCCAGCACUUUUGUUCAGUUUCAGCUUCUGUCUCACUCUGCUUUUAACCAUUUAUUGUUUCUCUCUCACUCCCUCUCUCCUUCUUUGUUCCAUUCCUCUCCCUUUGCUGAUUAUCUUCCUUGUCUCUCCACUCACUGUAUUUUUUUCUCCUAGCCUAAGAUUUUCAUUCCUUUUCCCUUUUUAUUUCUUGGCCUUUCCUGCCUCAGCGUUUCACCCCCACUGUAUCACACACAGAGCAUCACAGGAACAACUUUCAUCCCUGAUAUAGGCUUCCCACAUGGUAAAAAACUUGCAAGGUUUGGAUCUACUCUGCAAUGUGUCUCUCAGAAGCAAGGGAGAGGGCUUUUUUCCUCUUUAAAAAUCAAAUCCCUUGUUCCCUCAUUCCCCUUAGCCUUAUAGUCCAUCAAAGCAAUCAGCCCUUUAUAAAAUGAGCCAUAAGGGGAGCCUGUUGGCAGGGAAUCUGCUUUAACUGGGAAGCUGCCAAAGUCUGCAACAGCACUGAAAAACAUCACAGGAGAAAGAGAGAGGAAGGAGCCAUGCCCGGUGUCUCAGAAAUGGGUUAGUAUUACAAAAGGGGAAAAAAGCACAGAGACAUUUCAGAAAGAGUUAGUGUCUCUAAUGCAAAGCCAUCACAUUUUAGAAAAAGAGUGAUUUGGAAAUGAUUGCUUUUCUUAGCAGUUCCCUGUCCAGAGCUAAUGCUGCUCCUCUCCCCUUCUUCCAACCCCAAAUAUAUACAGCAGCUGCUGUUCAAAUUCCUCCUAUGUUGACAGAGUCAGAACUCAGCAUCAAACACAUUCUCUCAACUUGGAAAAUAUCCUGGUGUCAAUAUGUAUUUGCAAAAACAGAUGUAAAGAGUCUCGUGGGGGUAACCGAAUUAUAAUGUUUAUCUCCCUUUAAAUCCUUCUAUACACACUUCUACUUGGGUGUCCAUGUGAUGUGCCACAUGCUGACAGCCAGGGAGAAAGUGAAUAUAGCGACCUGGAGAGGAAAUAUUCAGAUGUAAAUAUUAUAAACCAUUCAAAGCCAUUUAGUUACAUUUACUUCUGGCCUGCAUCUAUUCCCAUGGCUACUUUUUUCCAUUCAUGCUCCUCCUUUCUUUUUGGUAGUUUGCUCUAUCCAUUCGUAGUAUCUUGGCUUCAUUAGGCUGUAAACAAUUUGGCAGCCACUGCCUAGUGCCUGGCAAACCGGAAUGUCAGCACUGACAGAAGACUAGAGUGCUAUAACAGUACAGAUAACUGGUGAAAUAUUACAGUGUUUAUUAAAGAAAAAGAUGUAUUGAAAAAAUAGAACUUGAAAGCAGAACAACAUUUAAGCCUACACCCUCUGCUUUUACUUUCCCUUGAUCAAUAUGAAGAAAGAGGUUCUGGUGAAGCAUAUUGUUAGCCUAUACCCCAAGAGUUGCUUGUGCUGUUUAUCCCUGUAUUGAGUCAGCAAAAAUGGUGCUCAGGCAAAAUGGUCAAUUAUUUACCACUAGCAGUAGCAGCUGCUAGUUCCUUUGCCCUAAUGGAAGUGAUUACAUGAGAUGAAGGUGGGGAGACUUACUUAUUGGAAAGGAAGCUCAUUGUAAAUUCGGGGUAUUCAGCCUGGGGUACUCAGCUUCUCAGGAACAGACACUCUCUUCUCUUUGUAAGCUGGUCUGAACAAGCCCAGUAUCUGCAGAGACUAUCCAAAAGACCCUAACGCUGAUCUGACUUUAAAUACGAGUGGAGUAAAAGGUGGAGAUGAGAGGAAAUAGGCCAUGAUGUGACUUUCCCCUCCACAAAUAAUCUCAAGAGUCUUCCACGCAUGUGCAGAGCAAAACAGGAGAAACAUCUAGGCCUUUUGCUUCUUCUAGCAGUUUGCAGAGAUAGCCUUACUGUGUCACUCAGGGCCAGGGCCCUAAAAUAAAGCAUUAAGUAGGUGGCACCUCAGGUAGGGAUCUCCGGAUCAACUGAUGACUUACUAACAAGCAGGAUGCUCUUGGUACAUAUAAACCUAUAGUUGUUCUGUGAGCAAAUCUGCAUUCAUGUGUCACCUUCAUUUGAUGCUGAAUAUUUUCCUUUUCCAUUUCAAACUUGGAGGAGAGAAGUCAGAACUCAGUGUGUCGCCCCUUUCAGCGCUUCCUGUCAUUGCUGAGCCUACGAGCCAGAGGCAACUAGAUAGGGAGCUGAAGAAGAUAGGUACUGAGUAGAUGUCCACAGGACGCUUAAAUCCCAAACCUAGCUUUUUCAUACAGGUAGUACGCUCUUUAUUAUGACACAGUUUUGUAUGACUAGCCAUGUGGCAUUUCUUUCUAUCUUUAGUUAUUUCCAAACCAUCCUUAAUAUCCUAAAAACCAUCAUGCUUCGUAUUGGCCAUCCACAAAGGGCAAAUGAUUCUUCAGGGUUGAGAUUGUUCACCAAGUAAAAUACUACUUACUUUAAAUUUCUCAAUGGCACUUGCCAUUGCCUAGCCACUUAAGUCAGGAAUAUUGUUUCUGACCUUUUAUGAAGUUUGAUGAAUCUUUUUAAGGAAGACCUUCCAAUGUAAGUUUCUGAACAAAUAAUUCAUGACACUGUCUAACAAUCUUUCCCUUCUACAAAGACGUCAACAUUCAUUCUGAUUUAUUUGUCUAAUAUUUAGAUUAUGUUUUUUCUUCAACCUUUAGUUUGUAUUUAAAACGGAUAGUUGUUUUUCUACAUAUUUAAUGACUGUGACUUACAUAAUCUAUUUCAUCUGAUUUUUUUUGUUUUUCUUAUGAGAUUUUGCUGCAGUUACUUUUGACUACCAAACAAGCCUAAUUUGGUGAGAAGAGAAACUCUGAGUCUUCUGCGCCUCACAAACAUUUUAAGAAAAGUUAAUGUUCACCCAGGACCCAUGCAGAUGAUCCAGAUUGUAUAUGGACUGGAGAAAAAGGUUUGUGGCUAAAGAUUUGUGACUGAAGUUUUCAAGCAGGUGACCCUCUUAGCCAGAGAACAUCCAAAAUGGAUACAGGAUUCUGCGAAUAAUCUCAUUCAUGCUUCAUACAGAG